rnacentral:rRNA from 1 species
CCUACGGGAGGCAGCAGUGGGGAAUAUUGGGCAAUGGGCGCAAGCCUGACCCAGCAACGCCGCGUGAGGGAAGAAGGCUUUCGGGUUGUAAACUUCUUUUAUCAGGGACGAAGCAAGUGACGGUACCUGAGGAAUCAGCACCGGCUAACUACGUGCCAGCAGCCGCGGUAAUACGUAGGUGGCCAGCGUUAUCCGGAUUUACUGGGUGUAAAGGGCGUGUAGGCGGGGGGGCAAGUCAGAUGUGAAAACCACGGGAUUAACCUGUGGCCUGCAUUUGAAACUGUGUUUCUUGAGUACGGGAGAGGCAGACGGAAUUCCUAGUGUAGCGGUGAAAUGCGUAGAUAUUAGGAGGAACACCAGUGGCGAAGGCGGUCUGCUGGACAGCAACUGACGCUGAGGCGCGAAAGCGUGGGGAGCAAACAGGAUUAGAUACCCGAGUAGUC